UGGCUUAGUUGGUCAAAGCGCCUGUCUCGUAAACAGGAGAUCCUGGGUUCAAAUCCCNN
rnacentral:tRNA from 1 species